ACGUAUGGUGCAAGCGUUAUCCGGAUUUACUGGGUGUAAAGGGAGCGUAGACGGAGUGGCAAGUCUGAUGUGAAAACCCUGGGCUCAACCCCGGGACUGCAUUGGAAACUGUCAAUCUAGAGUACCGGAGAGGUAAGCGGAAUUCCUAGUGUAGCGGUGAAAUGCGUAGAUAUUAGGAGGAACACCAGUGGCGAAGGCGGCUUACUGGACGGUAACUGACGUUGAGGCUCGAAAGCGUGGGGAGCAAACAG
rnacentral:rRNA from 1 species